rnacentral:rRNA from 1 species
UACGGGGGGGGCAAGCGUUGUUCGGAAUUACUGGGCGUAAAGGGCUCGUAGGCGGCCAACUAAGUCAGACGUGAAAUCCCUCGGCUUAACCGGGGAACUGCGUCUGAUACUGGAUGGCUAGAGGUUGGGAGAGGGAUGCGGAAUUCCUGGUGUAGCGGUGAAAUGCGCAGAUAUCAGGAGGAACACCAAUUGCGAAGGCAGCUCGCUGGGACGUGACUGACGCUGAGACGCGAAAGCGUGGGGAGCAAACAGG